UGCGUAGGCGGGCUAAUAAGUCAGUGGUGAAAUCUUUCGGCUCAACCGGGAAACUGCCAUUGAUACUGUUAGUCUUGAGUUCGGCUGAGGUAGGCGGAAUGUGUAAUGUAGCGGUGAAAUGCUUAGAUAUUACACAGAACACCAAUUGCGUAGGCAGCUUACUAGACCGACACUGACGCUGAGGCACGAAAGCGUGGGGAGCGAACAGGAUUAGAUACCCUGGUAGUCC
rnacentral:rRNA from 1 species